GUGUCAUUGUUUUAUAGAUACCAUAGUGAGAAAGGAUUCAUUUCGCAACACCUACGGCUUCCACUAGAUGUCAACGAUCUUUAUAAAGUUGUUUGAAGCGUCUAUGAUAAACAGAGAGCAAAUUAGAAUCCAAGGAAGUUGACAUGUCAUCACUUCAUUUUUUUGCACCUGCGCGUAAAUCUGAGAAGCGUGAGUUUGUCAUCAUUGUUUAUCUAGACAUAGGAUAGGUUGUGUGAAAAUAUUACUGAUGUUUAACGUUAAAAAUGGACCAAAAGAUUAAUGCUAAACAACAUUUGACAUGUUUGAACGAACGUAAAUAGAUUAUUUACUAGGUUUUUUUAGCUUUUCGGCGUGAUUUUACACUCCCCCCACCACGUUUUGUGGGAGCAUAAUGAACGCUAAGUACUUGGUGUUAUUUGGACAUAAAUUAUGAACUUUGUCAAAAGAAACCACAUUUGUUCUGGACCUGGGAUGCCUUCCGGACCUGGGAUGCCUGCCUUCUGAUGGAGAUAAUCAAAGGUAAAGGAAAUGGAAUGGACGGUAGACUGCAGCGAGUCCCUUGAGCUGAUGAGUGACACCAGCGCUUCCCCAGGGCUCCACAUAGUAAAGAUAAACACACAAAGUACAUAUACAGGUUGGAGCAGGAGGCUGCCACACUGGGCACUCGUGGAGCAGUUGUUGUGGGGGGAUAGUUACCUUCCUCAAAGGCGCAAUGGCAUCUAGGAUUUUAUACCAGCAACCCUCCAGUUGCCAUCUCACUUCCCACCGGUUUCUGGCUCGCCUCUCUGACUGCUGAGGCACUGGAAAGAGUCCAAGCUAUAAUAAGUUGGCACUCUCCACUCCGCUGUAUGUUUAUUUUCAUGGGGAGCCAUGAAAUCUUUUCCUAGCAGCUCAAGUUUUUGUAUGGAAAGAGAUUUUCCUUAGUAACCCAGCAGGCAAGAGUCACAACUACUUGAACAGAGAAUGACACAAACCCCAAAAACAAUGGACAUAAAGUCAGAUGUAAGCAAUCUCUAUAUUUUUUAUGUGAAAAUGCUAAUUCAUUUGGGUGACUCCCAAUAAAGUUGAGAGAAUACUUUUUCUAGAUUAGGCUUCAGAGAGACUGAAUACACAUAUCCAUUUAACAGAUUAACUGCACAUAUCACAAGUCAAUUAAAUAGAUAUAUCAGACUGCUUGAUUUAUUCAAAAACAACUGUGCACUCUUAAGUAUUGAUUAAGUAUUGAGUAAUCACAA
rnacentral:lncRNA from 1 species